CCUACGGGUGGCAGCAGUGAGGAAUAUUGGUCAAUGGGCGCGAGCCUGAACCAGCCAAGUCGCGUGAGGGAAGACGGUCCUAUGGAUUGUAAACCUCUUUUGUCGGGGAGCAAAAGACGCCACGCGUGGCGUUCCGAGAGUACCCGACGAACAAGCAUCGGCUAACUCCGUGCCAGCAGCCGCGGUAAUACGGAGGAUGCGAGGGUUAUCCGGAUUUAUUGGGUUUAAAGGGUGCGCAGGGGGAAGAUCAAGUCAGCGGUAAAAUUGCGGGGCUCAACCGCUUCGGGCCGUUGAAACUGGUUUUCUUGAGUGAGCGAGAGGUAUGCGGAAUGCGUGGUGUAGCGGUGAAAUGCAUAGAUAUCACGCAGAACACCGGUUGCGAAGGCAGCAUACCGGAGAGCAACUGACGCUCAUGCACGAAAGUGUGGGUAUCGAACAGGAUUAGAUACCCGUGUAGUC
rnacentral:rRNA from 1 species